CCCAUCCCCCACUCAGAAAGGCGCCUUUGAGUCCAUACUCCUGAUCAGCGUCCACAUCUCGCGAGAUCGCGCAAGCUGCUAGCGCAAAGACAGUUGGUACACGUACUGUCAAUCUUCCAGAAAACUCAUCACUGAAUGGAGUUCAGUGGUCGCCGCCUCCUCGUGGCCACCGCCCCAGAGCUAUCAGAAGGUUUCUGAGAUGACGGCUGCCCCCUCCCCCAGGCCUCCCACCCAGGUGUCUGUCAAGGUCGCUGUAAACCAAUCUAGUCCAUAUGGCUCUAGAAUAAAACGAAAAGGCUCUUAUACAGAUUAUCUGCCAAGGGUGAAGACGGAGUGAACAGCAAGCAAGAGAGAAGAUGAAAAGAGACGUUCAGGGGUAGGGGGCUAAGAGUGUGAAACAAAAAGAUUUCUCGGCCUGUGGAGCCAGUGGACCAGGCACCGUGUUGGCUGCCUAGCUUCAAAAUACCCUUGGAAGCAGUGGGCAAAGGCAAAGAGAAGAAAUGUACCCCAUUCCCCUGGGUAUGUACUCAAUGGACAUGAAGCCGAGCAAAGUGAAGGACAAGGAAACCUGCAUUUUAUGGGCUCGCAAAAAGCUGGACACGACUUAGCCAGUGAACAGUAAUCCCCCUGGGACUUGGCUCCUUGUCCCUGAAGUCUCCCAGAUGCAUGGCAGUUACAACGUACAGUCACCACUUGUUCUUUGGUCUACACGGUGAAAAA